UUGGGAAUAUUGCGCAAUGGACGAAAGUCUGACGCAGCGACACCGCGUGAUUGAUGAAGCUUUUCGGAGUGUAAAAAUCUUUUCUCUGGGAAGAUUAUGACGGUACCAGAGGAAUAAGAGCCUGCUAACUACGUGCCAGCAGCCGCGGUAAUACGUAGGGCUCAAGCGUUAUUCGGAAUUAUUGGGCGUAAAGGGUAUGUAGGUGGUUUAAAAAGUCUUUUCUAAAAUCUUCAGGCCUAACCUGGAGCUUGGAAAAGAUACUUUUAGACUAGAGGAAAACAGGGGUAAGCGGAAUUCCCGGUGUAGCAGUGAAAUGCGUUGAUAUCGGGAGGAACACCAAUGGCGAAGGCAGCUUACUAGGUUUUUUCUGACACUGAAAUACGAAAGCGUGGGGAGCGAACGGG
rnacentral:rRNA from 1 species